GCAGAGAGUCUGUAUGUAACUCAAAAGUAACACAGGAGUCAUGUAACGCAUUAAAAUUCUGAGAUAGUAAUAUUGUAAGAUAAGGAAUUACUUUUAAAUAACACUAACAAGUAACCUGUAAGGAAUUACAUUUUGAAAGUAACUUGCACAACACUGGUAAUCACAGACAUUU